AGAGUUUGAUCCUGGCUCAGAAUCAACGCUGGCGGCGCGCUUAACACAUGCAAGUCGCACGAGAAAGUGGAGCAAUCCAUGAGUACAGUGGCGUACGGGUGAGUAACACGUGGAUCAUCUACCUCUUGGUGGGGAAUAACCCUGGGAAACCGGGGCUAAUACCGCAUAAGCCUGCAAAGGGAAAGCAGCAAUGCGCCGAGAGAGGAGUCCGCGGCCGAUUAGCUGGUUGGUAGGGUAAUGGCCUACCAAGGCAAUGAUCGGUAGCCGGCCUGAGAGGGCACACGGCCACACUGGCACUGAAACACGGGCCAGACUCCUACGGGAGGCAGCAGUGGGGAAUCUUGCACGAUGGGGGAAACCCUGAUGCAGCGACGCCGCGUGAGCGAUGAAGCCCUUCGGGGUGUAAAGCUCUUUCGGCAGGAACGAUUAUGACGGUACCUGCAGAAGAAGCUGCGGCUAACUACGUGCCAGCAGCCGCGGUAAUACGUAGGCAGCGAGCGUUGUUCGGAAUUACUGGGCGUAAAGAGUGUGUAGGCGGUUCUCCAAGUUCGGUGUGAAAUCUCCCGGCUUAACUGGGAGGGUGCGCCGGAAACUGGAGGGCUGGAGUAUGGGAGAGGAAAGCGGAAUUCCUGGUGUAGCGGUGAAAUGCGUAGAUAUCAGGAGGAACACCUGCGGUGUAGACAGCUUUCUGGACCAUCACUGACGCUGAGACACGAAAGCGUGGGUAGCAAACAGGAUUAGAUACCCUGGUAGUCCACGCCCUAAACGAUGCAUACUUGGUGUGAGCCGUUCAUUCGGUUCGUGCCGGAGUUAACGCGUUAAGUAUGCCGCCUGGGGAGUACGUCGCAAGGCUGAACUCAAAGGAAUUGACGGGGGCCGCACAAGCGGUGGAGCAUGUGGUUCAAUUCGACGCAACGCGAAGAACCUU
rnacentral:rRNA from 1 species